GAAUCUUCUCUAUGAAUAGUUUCUUAUUGAGUUAGUGUAGUUGUUCUGAUUGUACGCUGUUUUUGACUUUCUGGGUGUUGGCAAAAAGGUGUUUUUGAUUAAGUUGGAUUCGAAUUGAAGUGUUUGACAGAUAAUCGUGACUUGAAAUUUAAGUGUUUCUUGGCUUAAUUUUGAUUAUCUUGGAUUCAUAUUGAAUGCUUUGGCAAUUUUGAUUUUAUUGUAUUGUUGAACUUUUUUUGAUCUUAUAAUCUGCAAUUAGCCGUUCUUCCUUACCUUUU
rnacentral:misc_RNA from 1 species